rnacentral:rRNA from 1 species
CGCUACCAUGCAAGUCGAACGGAGUCAAGAGGAGCUUGCUUUUCUUGACUUAGUGGCGAACGGGUGAGUAACGCGUGAGUAACCUGCCCUGGAGUGGGGGACAACAGUUGGAAACGACUGCUAAUACCGCAUAAGCCCACGGCCCGGCAUCGGGCUGCGGGAAAAGGAUUUAUUCGCUUCAGGAUGGACUCGCGUCCAAUUAGCUAGUUGGUGAGGUAACGGCCCACCAAGGCGACGACUGGUAGCCGGACUGAGAGGUUGAACGGCCACAUUGGGACUGAGACACGGCCCAGACUCCUACGGGAGGCAGCAGUGGGGGAUAUUGCACAAUGGGGGAAACCCUGAUGCAGCGACGCCGCGUGGAGGAAGAAGGUUUUCGGAUUGUAAACUCCUGUCGUUAGGGACGAUAAUGACGGUACCUAACAAGAAAGCACCGGCUAACUACGUGCCAGCAGCCGCGGUAAAACGUAGGGUGCAAGCGUUGUCCGGAAUUACUGGGUGUAAAGGGAGCGCAGGCGGACCGGCAAGUUGGAAGUGAAAACUAUGGGCUCAACCCAUAAAUUGCUUUCAAAACUGCUGGCCUUGAGUAGUGCAGAGGUAGGUGGAAUUCCCGGUGUAGCGGUGGAAUGCGUAGAUAUCGGGAGGAACACCAGUGGCGAAGGCGACCUACUGGGCACCAACUGACGCUGAGGCUCGAAAGCAUGGGUAGCAAACAGGAUUAGAUACCCUGGUAGUCCAUGCCGUAAACGAUGAUUACUAGGUGUUGGAGGAUUGACCCCUUCAGUGCCGCAGUUAACACAAUAAGUAAUCCACCUGGGGAGUACGACCGCAAGGUUGAAACUCAAAGGAAUUUGACGGGGGCCCCCACAAGCCAGUUGGAGUAUGGUGGUUUAAUUCGAAGCAACGCGAAGAACUUUACCAA